UUAAUAAGCGGAGGAAAAGAAACUAACAAGGAUUCCCUCAGUAACGGCGAGUGAAGCGGGAAGAGCUCAAAUUUGAAAUCUCCGAUGCCCGCAUCGGCGAGUUGUAGUUGCGAGAAGCACUUUCUAGGCGGAAUCGGCCCUGCCUAAGUUGCUUGGAACGGCACGUCGCAGAGGGUGACAACCCCGUCUGUGGCAGGGACGGCCGCCGACGAUGCGCUUUCGAAGAGUCGGGUUGUUUGGGAAUGCAGCCCAAAAGGGGUGGUAAACUCCAUCUAAAGCUAAAUACCGGCGUGAGACCGAUAGCGA
rnacentral:rRNA from 1 species